GAUCACUAAAAUCCGGAAGCCAAGAAUAUAAGAAUUCUGAUUCCAAGCUGCAUGGUAGGCUUCCUUUUAGUUUAUUAGCCAUGCACUGGUGUCACUCCUAUAGCACUGAGAUUUGUCACUGUAUAUUCCUGUAAGAGAACAAGAGCUAUUAAAAGUGAAAUUCAAUGUAUAUUUGCAGUUUUGAUAUAUGCCCCAUGAUUCUUUCCCCUCCUUAGUUUGAAAAUAA